AGGUCUUGACAUCGAGUGACCGGCGUAGAGAUACGCCCUUCCCUUCGGGGACACAAAGACAGGUGGUGCAUGGUUGUCGUCAGCUCGUGUCGUGAGAUGUUGGGUUAAGUCCCGCAACGAGCGCAACCCUUAUGAUUAGUUGCUACGCAAGAGCACUCUAAUCAGACUGCCGUUGACAAAACGGAGGAAGGUGGGGAUGACGUCAAAUCAUCAUGCCCUUUAUGACCUGGGCCUCACACGUACUACAAUGGCGUUUAACAAAGAGAAGCAAUACUGCGAAGUGGAGCAAAUCUCCAAAAAACGUCUCAGUUCAGAUUGCAGGCAGCAACUCGCCUGCAUGAAGUCGGAAUUGCUAGUAAUCGCAGAUCAGCAUGCUGCGGUGAAUACGUUCCCGGGCC
rnacentral:rRNA from 1 species